GAAGGUGCUUUACGCACAAUACUGGCCCGAGGACGCAGGUGCGCUGUAUGGAGAGACUGAGGUCGAGUCACUGUGUCAGCGCUUCAACAUUGCCAACCCGCGCGCAGUCAUACGGGCCUACAGAAGGUACAGAGACUCAGAUGGCAAAGACCCCCCCCGAUGAGCUGAUGGAGUUACUUGUUGCUGUCAACAGCAUUCCAAUUGCAAGUGCUGAAUGUGAGCGCGGAUUUUCACAAAUGAACUUGAUUUGCACUCCCAACCGUAGCUCUUUGCUCACAUCCACCAUGUCAUCUUUACUCUUCCUAAAUCUUGUUGGACCCCCCCUGGCUAAAUUCAAUCCAGUCCCGUACGUGAGGUCCUGGGUGGCCAAAGGACACAGAACUGCCACAGACACACGCAGUAAAAGUAGAAAAAAAGAGAUGGAGGACAAUCCGGACAUGCUCGUGAUGUGGGGUGUUUUAAACAACUAAAUAUGGACACUCUGCUAAAGGUGGACUUGGGUGCUGAAUGAAGAUGGUGCGAGCCAGAAAGCCAGCUUCACGUGCUGCAGUGACCUCAGGGCUGACAGGGAGCGAGAGGACAACAAACCCAGCUCAUCACCCCGUCCUGUUCCCGUCUCUGCAUGUUAGAAUCUCUCGAGAAAUGACCCAGGGUUAUUUUCCAAGUUCAGGUGGGGACUGGCUUCAGGCUGUAACUCCUGUUUUGAGGAAGUGUUACUUUCAGAAGUUGAUGAUGGUUGUUUACUUUCUAUUUCUCUGUGCUUAAGAGAGUGAUGGGAAUGUGAAGACUUAAGAUUAGACAUGAAACGGUUAGUUGAUUAAUUGCUGAGUCAUUUGGCGUCAACUGUUUUGAUAGUUGUUUGUUGGUUCCACUUUCUGCUUUUCUAUUUUUUUCAAUGACAGAGAUCUAAAUGUAUUCAGGAUUUAGAUGAUCGUUCAAAAUAAGCAAAUAGCAGACUUUGUUUUUCAGAUUUUACGCAACAAACCAUUCAUUGACUGGCCAUUAUAAUUACAGUGCUACUGUAAAUGCAUAUCUUUUGUUUAAAUGCACUUUCUCUUCAGCGUUUAUUUCAUCUUAUUCCAAUCACAACUCUAUUUUCAAAACAUUAAGGAUGGUUGGUACUGAAAACUGUUCCACUGGUUUGUUCCUGGCCUUAAAGAUGUAACUCUUUUAAGUCAGAUAAAUGCAUUACGGCAUUGUGAAUGUAUGCUUUGUUCAGUGAAGCGUCUAAUUGGAUAAUUAAAUUGCUGUAAUACGCUUAUCCAUUUUCUUACCAAGAGUUGGAUGAGAAAAAAGAGGACCAUGAAUCUCUGAAAUAAAUAUGAUGGCGAUCCAUUAAAGAGCUGGUGAGAAAUCUUCAUCUCGACCAUACGACAGACCAAGAUUUCCCUUUUUCAGACCAGUAAAGUUUUGGAAAGUUAAAUUGAGCCUUUGAUUUAGGUUAUCCUGUACCUUGCUUACAGUAAACAUCAGACAGCAUGCCUUCACAACUACCUUAAACAUGCAUCAUCAACAGUUUGAAAACAUGGCCUUGAUUGUUGAUGCAACAUUGACGCACCAAUUGUUGGUGUAAUUAUUUCAGUCUAGAAUUUAAUUUGAAGAGGCCUGUUCAUUUUAAAUCAAUAGAUCAGUGUAGUAGGUUUGAUUCUCAAAGGGGACAAUUGCAAUAAAAACAUCUGGAUUUGUGGCUUUGUUAACAUUUUACAUAAAACCAUCAAGUCAUUAUAAGGUAGAGAUGUCCUCCUCACACGUUUAACAGUGAACAAACUACUGCUGUUUUUUGGCUACAUAAACAAGAGGAGAUGCCAAUUUGGAGCCAACCUUUUUGUUUGUCUUAAAACGUUGGAGGAAAUGUUCUGCUGAUACAACGGGAACAAAUAGUUUUUUCUGUUCAGACCUGUUCAGUCACUUUUUGUUAUUUUGGUCUCAAAGAAAUCCAUCCAUUGUGUAUGACACACCAUCUGUCCAGCGUUGAAUAAGAGACAAUUAUUUAGGUGUGCUCAAACUGCUGAGUUGUGUGGUUGGUAUUUAUUUUUAAAGUUUGAUUUUAUUUAUGUUUUGUUAGCAGUAGUUAGUGUAGUACUAACUUUGCACUGUGGAAAAACUGCUAGAUGCUGUAAAUGAAUAAAAUAAAGUGUUUUAUGUUUA